rnacentral:lncRNA from 1 species
AAAUUCUUUCCUACCUUCUCUUGAUCAAUGUUGCUCUAUUGGUAUUGUUAAUUAAUGAUGGGAAAUCAAGUGCAACUCGCUUUCCCUCAGUAAAACUAAGAGCAAAUGGUGAUUUCAUGCUACCUGAAAAAAGUUGAUAAAUUUGGAAGACAAGGCUCGAGUGUCUUGGGUGAUAAUAUUUAUUACAACACAAAAGAAAUCAUAGGAGGUCAUGGUCGAAGCCACCAUCAUUCAUUGCAACCUGGUAAUGUUGGUCGUAUUUUAUCAGAAAUCCCAUCAGGUCCAGAUCCCAUUCAUAUCAUGGUCGAAGCCACCAUCAUUCAUUGCAACCUGGUAAUGUUGGUCGUAUUUUAUCAGAAAUCCCAUCAGGUCCAGAUCCCAUUCAUAACCCCGAUUCCCCUAGUGCACGUGUUUAUGGUUGAUGUAUGAAUGGAAUAGAUGUAUUCAAUAUUUAUAAAAUAAAUUGUGAGAUUCUGUAUACACUUGAUGUAUUAGUUCAAUGUUAAUAAUUAAAUGUUAUAAACUAAAGUUAUAGAGUUCAUGGGUUAUCUCUAUUUAUAUUUCUCAACUAUUAGCCUUUUUAUUUCUCGUUGCAUCGGUUUGGAAUAUCUAUAUUAAUAUCUAUAUUUUGCAAGUAGAAAAAUACUUUACAAAGUUGUAGUUCUUUUUCAAAAAUGUAUUGAUAAGUAUAUAGAUACAAUUAUUAAAUUUUCUUCCACCUUAAAGAAUAUCAAACCUGGCGAUGUUUUCUAUCACACUUUCUUAAUAUCACAAAACAUUCUCUAGGGCCUUGGAAUUAAUAUUGACAGGAACAUGACACUUUGGCUAAAGGGUGCUUCUUGCCUACAUCGUCAUCUUCAUCUCCACUGAUGUCAUUAUCCUUGUAGCAGGACUCCCCACAUUUUGGGCAUUGAUUAAGUUCUUGAUAAUAUUUCCUCUCUAAUUGCAAUAGUUACAACAUGCAUAUUUUUUGACAUAAUCCAAACAAUUGGACACAAUAGAUUCUUGGCUUCAAAACUGUGGUUUGGACAAAUUUCUCCUUCUAGAAGCAUCUCUUUCAGCAAUUCAAGAAAUCAUAUUAAACAUUUAUCUGUCCAUCAUCUUUUUUCCUUCAAAUUAAAAAUAUUAAAAAUAGUCGAUAAUACAUGUAAAUUUGUGAACCUCUUAAAUAAAAACUAAUCUUUCUCACUAAAUAAAGUACCACACAUAUGGGCUUUCCGAAAAGAAGAUUCUCCAAUUUCACUGGUCAUAUCUUAUAGUCUAUCAUCCAUAUCUACGUUAACUUUGUAUCUAUGUGACUUCAUAGUUUGGAAUUCAUCUACUUCAGCCAGUCACAUCCAUGUUGUAUAAUUUUAGAAUAAAUUUUUCAACAACCUAGGUGAUUGAAAAUUACUUUCUUUUAAAAAGAAUACAUUCCAACAUAUAACAUAAGGACCAUAAAAGAUUCCAUUGUUGUUGGAAGUGUUUUUUUCCGUGAAUUCUAGAAAUUCAAGUAUUGCUCCCACAUACUUAUAACAUAAAUAUGAAAUCUACAUUUUGUAGUAUUUGGUGGAAUCUCCCUCAACGGGUACUUAUAAUGUCUUCAACACUCUUUAGAUAGAGAGAAUAAGAAAAUACGCUUGUAGCACUAUAUACUAUGGACCAUAACUUACAUAUAUAAUGAUGAUCAGUUAGGAUUCACGUUAUUCAAAAAUGGACAAUAUUGAAAUACUCAUAUUUGAGUCCAUAUCAAACUAAAUAAUUAAUUAAUUAAUUUUCAAAAUAUAAUCUUAAUUAUUUUUUUGUCUUUAUUUGAUCACUUAAUCAUAAUAAUUAAUUUAAAAGUAUGGCCACAUAAUAAUUAGUAGAAUGAAAGAAUUAAAUAAUAUUUAAAUAUAGUAUAUUCCAACACAUUUUACACGGAUGUCUAAUAGAAAUUCGGUUCAAUAGUAUACUUUACUAAUUUUCAUAAAAUUUAUCAUUUUGGAUGGUAUAAUUAUUGUCAAGAAACAAUAAUUAUUUAAUGAUUUUAUUAAAACAAAAAAUACUAAAUAUAUGUAUAUUUUCUAUCUUUAUUUUUAUAAAGUUCAUUUUUUUGACUAAAAUGAAUAAAUGUUCAUAUGGAGACAACUUUUUAAAAGGUUGUGUUAGGUGAAACAAUAUUCUACUAGUUACUAGUAUAUGUAUAUAUACAUCCACUGUAUGUCUACCUUAAAUUAUAUUUCAAAGUUAGCACCAUAUUCGAAUAACGUGCUACAAAUGAUAAUGGUGCAAAAAAUUCUUUCCUACCUUCUCUUGAUCAAUGUUGCUCUAUUGGUAUUGUUAAUUUAUGAUGGGAAAUCAAGUGCAACUCGCUUUCCCUCAGUAACACUAAGAGCAAAUGGUGAUUUCGUGCUACCUGAAAAAGUUGAUAAAUUUGGAAGACAAGGAUCGAGAGUCUUGGCGGAUAAUAUUUAUUACAACACAAAAGAAAUCAUAGGAGGUCAUGGUCGAAGCCACCAUCUUUCAUUGCAACCUGGUAAUGUUGGUCGUAUUUUAUCAGAAAUCCCAUCAGGUCCAGAUCCCAUUCAUAACCCCGAUUCCCCUAGUGCACGUGUUUAUGGUUGAUAUGUGGAUGGAAUAGAUGUAUUCAAUAUUUAAAAAAUAAAUUGUGAUAUUCUGUAUACACUUGAUGUCCUAGUUCAAUGUUAAUAAUUAAAUGUUAUAAACUCAAGUUAUAGAGUUCAUGAGUUAUCACUAUUUAUAUUUCUCAA